rnacentral:misc_RNA from 1 species
GACGUCAUAGAUUUGAUUAGUUUUUAUUCAGUUCUAAGAGAGGGCAGCACGAUAGAGGAAAAAUGGCAUCCUCCUUGACGUACAGAAAUUUCAUGCUUUACAGGUCACUAGAAAAGACUCUGUGUUUACUUUCGAAACGCUAUGCCAGUACAGAACCUAUCAACAAGAUACUUAUAGCCAACCGAGGAGAGAUAGCAUGUAGAGUUAUGCGCACAGCUCGCAAGAUGGGCAUACAGACAGUGGCCGUCUAUAGCGAUGCAGACCGUAAUUCAAUGCACGUAGCCAUGGCGGACGAGUCGUACAACAUCGGCCCCGCGGCGUCGCAGCUCAGCUACCUCGACCACAACAAGGUGCUGGAGGUGGCGCGGAUGUCCGGAGCGCAGGCCGUGCAUCCCGGCUACGGCUUCCUGUCCGAGAACACGGAGUUCGCCGAGCAGUGCCAGCGCGAUGGCGUCAUCUUCAUCGGGCCGCCGUCGUCGGCGAUACGCGACAUGGGAAUCAAAAGCACGUCUAAAGCCAUCAUGUCAGCUGCUGGCGUGCCGGUCAUUGAAGGGUACCACGGCGAAGACCAGACGGAUGCCAAGUUGGCAGAGGAAGCACAGAAAAUCGGCUUUCCUGUAAUGAUAAAGGCAGUACGAGGGGGUGGUGGAAAGGGAAUGAGGAUCGCGAUGUCGGAGAAGGAGUUCAAGGAGCAGCUGGAGUCUGCGAGAAGAGAAGCCCUGAAGUCGUUCAACAACCAGGAGAUGCUGCUUGAGAAAUACAUUGCCACGCCGAGGCACGUUGAGGUCCAGGUAUUCGGCGACCAGCACGGUAACUACGUGUACCUGUUCGAGCGAGACUGCAGCGUGCAGCGGCGCCACCAGAAGAUCAUUGAAGAGGCGCCUGCACCAGGGAUAUCGGAGGCGGUGCGGCGAGAACUGGGAGAGACGGCGGUGAAAGCAGCGAGGGCCGUGGACUACGUGGGAGCCGGCACGGUGGAGUUCAUCAUGGACGCCGGUCAGAAUUUCUACUUCAUGGAGAUGAACACGAGGUUGCAGGUGGAGCACCCGGUCACAGAGAUGGUCACGGGGGCUGACCUCGUGGAGUGGCAGAUCAAGGUGGCAGCAGGAGAGAAGCUUCCUAUGAUGCAGUCAGAGCUCGUGCUGCAGGGACACGCGUUUGAGGCGCGCAUCUACGCGGAAGAUCCCGACAACAACUUCAUGCCGGGGGCCGGUCCCCUGCACCAUCUGUCGACCCCGCCCGCCGAUGCAGCGACCAGGAUAGAGACUGGUGUCCGCCAAGGUGACGAGGUGUCCGUUCACUACGACCCGAUGAUCGCCAAGCUCGUCGUCUGGGCCGACGACAGACAAUCGGCGCUACGUAGACUACGCAGUUGCCUUAGCGAAUACAACAUUGUUGGGUUGAAAACCAACGUGAAGUUUCUCAGCGAUCUGUCAUGCAACGAGGCCUUCAUGGAGGGCAAGGUUCACACGGACUUCAUUCCCCAACACCACGACGAACUGUUUCGCACGCACGAGCUUCCGGAACAUGUCCUCUGCCAGGUGGCACUGGCGAUGGUGCUAGAGGAAAGACAGCAGACGCGCGUACACAGCCUGACGACGCCAGAUCCAUUUUCGCCAUUUUCGUUUGGCUGUGGAACGCGAUUGAACCACAAACAGAAGAAGACGCUGGAGCUAAACUCAGGAGAUCAAAAGUUGAGUAUCGUAGUCACCUACAACGGUCUCAAUGACUUCACCGUCACAUUUGACGGAAAAUCGCACCACGUGAAAGGACAGAUGGCGCCACUCGACAACGAGCUGACCUGUGAGGUGGACGGCACCAUCACGAAGGCGAAGGUCGUCAUGCGCGGAAACACCUACCACAUAUUCACGAAGGACGGCAGCUACGAGCUGAGCGUGCCGACGCCAAAGUUCAUCGAGGCGGCGGGAGACGGCGUCGCGCUGUCCGGCGCCGUCGCGCCGAUGCCCGGGGUCAUCGAGAAGGUCGCGGUCGCCGUCGGCGACAAGGUAGCAGCCGGCGACCCGCUCAUCAUCAUGAUCGCGAUGAAGAUGGAGUAUGUGAUCAGAGCUCACCAGGAUGGAGUCGUGGAGGCAGUACUCUACAAGGCCGGUGACAACGUCAACAAGGACGCGCAGCUUGUCAAGUUCGUAGAGGAGGAGAGCGACAAGAAGCCAGCAGCAGACGAGGACGACUAGCGCCAUCUAGUGACAUCAGAUAGAAUGAGCCGGUGGUAGACAGCGGCAGUGACUAGCACCAACAACGAGAGACAAAACCAGACAUAUUUCUGUAAUUGCCAUCUAAACAGGACCUAGCUCACUCGUACGAACGUAUAGCAUGACAAGGAAGACCUUAUGAAAACUGGAUACAGAGUAGAGGAUAAGAUAAAGUAGGUGUAAAUGGGAGAACAAUGCAUGAAUAAGUGCUGGUAUAUAUUAUGGUAGGGAACACUGUAAUUGCAAAUUUGAUAACGAUUCGUGUUAAACAUAGUUCGCAUGUGCAUAAACCAUUAAUAAAAGUAGGAUGUUUAUAUAUGUUAGCAGUGAUGCACUGAACUAUUUCAUGGUAAACAUGAUAAAUAAAUUGUUAAUAAUAACGUAAUGUUA